rnacentral:lncRNA from 1 species
UUAAUACUUUGGAUGAGAAAUGUGUAAGGUUAGGAUGAUAUUAGUCAGUUAGAGUUGAGUGGUCCCCCUAGGGUUGAUUGGUCCCCACUGGUUUAUAGUAUUUAAUCCAUUGAUUUGAUUAGAAAUGAUGAAAAGAGUUGAUCCAAAGGCUCUCUCUCUCUCUCUCUCUCUCUCUCUCUCUCUCUCUCUCUCUCUCUCUCUCUAUAUAUAUAUAUAUAUAUAUAUAUAUUU